rnacentral:lncRNA from 1 species
CACACACAAGCACCUAUGCAUAAAAUCAACUGUAGGAUUUUAACCUCGGCCUGGAAACACAAUCACAGGUCUCAGCAAAAGCAGAGCUAGUGAAGAUGAAUACUUUGAGUUGCCCAAUUUACACAUCCUGAUUAUAUGCUAAUACCUGGCUGCAUAGUCUUGCAGGUUGGUGUGCUGAGACUAAAUUCCUGUUGACAUCAAACAAAGGUGUGGUGCAUGACCACCUGUGAAGAUCUUUGAAAAGGAGCUUCCUGGCUGCAAUGAUGUGAGCAGCUUUCUUCCACCACAUGCUCCGGCCAUGAUGUGCUGCUUCACCACAGGUUUAAAGUGAUGGAGCCAUUUGACCAUGGACUGAAACCUCUGAAAUUAAUUCUGCAUGAAGAGGGGAUCGAUCAUGAACAUCUUGAAAGUCCAGAGGAAGAGGAAAAUCCUCAGGAGACCCAGAUAGAGCUCCCAGCAGGGCUGUGCCCUUCCUUGGCCCCUAGGUACAGAGGAGUUGUCUUCUACAUAGACCCUUGUGCAUAUUUUGGAACGUCUUCAUUUGGGUCUCCUAUUUUCUUCACUAGUAACAACCAAAGACCUGAGGGUACAGAUGUGUUACAGAGCAGAAGCCACUAAAAUUGUUUUCUUUUUGCUUUUAUGAAGUUUCAGAGAGAACAGAAGAAAAACAAAGCCAUGUAAUGAAAGGAACUGAUAAAUGUAAUCUUAAAAAAGUUGGG